CCUACGGGAGGCAGCAGUGGGGAAUAUUGGACAAUGGGCGAAAGCCUGAUCCAGCCAUGCCGCGUGUGUGAAGAAGGCCUUCGGGUUGUAAAGCACUUUCAGUGGGGAAGAAAGCCUUGGGUCUAAUACCCUCGAGGAAGGACAUCACCCACAGAAGAAGCACCGGCUAACUCCGUGCCAGCAGCCGCGGUAAUACGGAGGGUGCGAGCGUUAAUCGGAAUUACUGGGCGUAAAGCGCGCGUAGGCGGUCUGAUAAGCCGGUUGUGAAAGCCCCGGGCUCAACCUGGGAACGGCAUCCGGAACUGUCAGGCUAGAGUGCAGGAGAGGAAGGUAGAAUUCCCGGUGUAGCGGUGAAAUGCGUAGAGAUCGGGAGGAAUACCAGUGGCGAAGGCGGCCUUCUGGACUGACACUGACGCUGAGGUGCGAAAGCGUGGGUAGCAAACAGGAUUAGAUACCCGAGUAGUC
rnacentral:rRNA from 1 species